AGUGCUCCUCCCACCACUGUGCUGAGGAGGAAGGAAACCAGGCAGGGCUGAGGGGCUCACAGUCGCCGCGUGGGCACGUGGGUGUGGGCCUGGCCGACCUCGGCUGCUGGGGUGUCCGGCCGCCCUGUCCCGGAACCGUCUCCUUUCAAAUCCUAGUGGCUGGUGGGCUUCAGCUUCUUCCUGUUCCCCGGAGCUUCAUUCUCCCUGCGGAGCCGCUACCGCCCACAGCACAUCUUCUUUGGUGCUACCAUCUUCCUCCUUUCCGUGGGCACCGCCCUGCUGGGCCUGAAGGAGGCACUGCUGUUCAACCUCGGGGGCAAGUAUAGCGCGUUUGAGCCCGAGGGUGUCCUGGCCAACGUGCUGGGCCUGCUGCUGGUCUGCUUCGGUGGGGCGGUGCUCUACAUCUUGACCCGGGCCGACUGGAAGCGGCCUUCCCAGGCGGAAGAGCAGGCCCUCUCCAUGGACUUCAAGACGCUGACGGAGGGAGACAGCCCCGGCUCCCAGUGAUGCACCCGGCCGGCCCUGGGGGUUCGCGGGGUGUCUUCUUGCCUGCCCCUGCUGAGGCGUCUUCAGGACUG
rnacentral:sRNA from 1 species